rnacentral:rRNA from 1 species
CCCUUAGAUGCCCUGGGCUGCACGCGUGCUACAUUGACUAAAUCAACGAGUUUCUUCCUUGGCUGAGAGGUCUGGGUAAUCUUGUAAACUUAGUCGUACUAUGGAUCGCUGAUUGCAAUUAUUCGGCGUGAAAGAGGAAUGCCUUGUAGGUGUAGUUCAUCAGACUGCACCGAAUACGUCCCUGCUCUUUGUACACACCGCCCGUCGCUCCUACCAAUUGAUGCUAACGGUGAGAAGUUCGGAGACAUUUAGGAUGAGGGGUCAAACCUUCGCCUAUACAUUGAAGUUCUUCAAAUCUUUAGUAUUAGAGGAAGGAGAAGUCGUAACA